rnacentral:rRNA from 1 species
UACAGAGAGUGCAAACGUUGUUCGGAAUUACUGGGCUUGAAGCGCACGUAGGCGGCGUUGUAAGUGUCGGGUGAAAUCCCACGGCUCACCCGUGGAACUGCCCGGCAUACUGCGGUGCUAGAGUGUGGUAGGGGAGAGCGGAACUCCUGGUGGAGCGGUGAAAUGCGUAGAUAUCAGGAGGAACACCGGUGGCGAAGGCGGCUCUCUGGUCCACAGCUGACGCUGAGGUGCGAAAGCUAGGGGAGCAAACGGG